rnacentral:rRNA from 1 species
UACGUAGGGGGCAAGCGUUGUCCGGAAUCAUUGGGCGUAAAGAGCGUGUAGGCGGUCCGGUCAGUCGGUUGUGAAAGUCAAGGGCUCAACCCUUGAAUGCCGGCCGAUACUGCCGGGCUAGAGUCCGGAAGAGGUGAGUGGAAUUCCUGGUGUAGCGGUGAAAUGCGCAGAUAUCAGGAAGAACACCAAUGGCGAAAGCAGCUCUCUGGGACGGUACUGACGCUGAGGUGCGAAAGCGUGGGGAGCAAACAGG